CACAGGGAGUGACAUUAACUGAUCUUCAAGAAGCUGAGAAAACAAUAGGAAGAAGUCGUUCUACCCGAACCAGAGAACAAGAAAAUGAAGAAAAAGAAAAAGAGGAAAAAGAAAAACAAGAUAAAGAGAAACAAGAAGAAAAGAAGGAGUCAGAAACAUCUAGAGAAGACGAAUAUAAACAAAAGUACUCCAGAACGUAUGAUGAGACUUACCAGCGUUAUAGGCCAGUAUCAACUUCAAGUUCAACCACUCCAUCCUCUUCACUUUCUACUAUGAGCAGUUCACUCUAUGCUUCAGGUCAACUAAACAGGCCAAAUAGUCUUGUAGGCAUAACUUCUGCUUACUCCAGAGGAAUAACAAAAGAAAAUGAAAGAGAGGGAGAAAAAAGAGAAGAGGAGAAAGAAGGAGAAGAUAAAUCACAACCUAAAUCAAUCAGAGAACGACGACGACCAAGAGAGAAAAGAAGAUCUACAGGAGUUUCAUUUUGGACACAAGAUAGUGAUGAAAAUGAACAAGAACAACAAUCAGACACAGAAGAGGGAUCCAAUAAGAAAGAAACUCAGGUAAAUACCAUUACUUUUUGUAUUAAGUAUUCAUAUUUUUUAAUAAUUACUUUUAAAUUGUGU
rnacentral:sRNA from 1 species